AAAAUUUUAGUUUAUAAAAACAUUUCACUUACAUUGAAAAAUAUCAAUAAUUGAAAAUUUUU
rnacentral:tRNA from 1 species